rnacentral:lncRNA from 1 species
UAUUCCAUGGUGUAUAUGUGCCACAUUUUCUUUAUGCAGUUUAUCAUUGAUGGGCAUUUGGGUUCCAAUCCCUAAGUUUUAUUCAGUAUAUGGUACCAGCUAUAUGCACUUUGGGUAACCUUGGUCACAUCAUCUCAUUUGCCUGCUCAUUCACGGAUACUUAUUCAACAAAUACCAAUUGAGCAAGAUGUAUGUGCUAGUAUGACAGAGAGAUAGGUCACCUGGGGCCUCAGCUUCUCCACUGCUGAAGACUUGUGCCAGAUCACUGGCUUUCAAUGCAGUGUGGACUCCAGAGCCCUAUUUUAUUAAACAAAUUAGAGUGGAUUCAAGGUUAUUCCUCUAAUAGCUUCACUCCUUGGUAUACUGAAGCUGUCUCAGGUGAAAGAGAAAAUGGUGGAGUGACAGCUAUAGGCUUGGAAUUUUUGUUAUUAUUACCCAGAACUUAAUUGAUCUCUGCCUGAAUUGUUAGGCUGUGUGAGCCUCACUUGCCACAAGGUCUUCAUGAAAAGGAUUGAGAACUGCUGAACUGAAUGUUCUCUGAGAUUCUUUCUAGCUCUGACAUUCACAGAGUGCUGAGACAGUUUUUCUUUUUUCUUUGUUUUCAUUUAACACUGUUUCACAUGCACAUUUCCAAGACUCCAUAUGGCUGAUUUCCUUGUCAGUCUCAGAAACAGUGCUUCAGUUUUGCUUAGCAGUAGUCCUAUUGGUUCCUGUCUUCCCUUGAUUCCCUCUACUUUUACAGACUUUUUUCAGAGCCUUCAUUUCAAUGAAUCCUAAUGGUGUGUGUGUCUGUGUAUUUGUCCACACUCAAGGUCUUUAUCUGGUACCUACAGGCACUCAGCAACUACCAAUUGGAUGAAUUAGUGAAUUCUUAAUGAUUAUCAAUAAUUUCAUCUCACACACACACACAUACACACACAGAGAGAGAGAGAGAGAGAGAGAAUGAGAGAAAUCAUAACCUUUGGCUUAUUUUACUUCUUUUUUGAGGGUGUUAAUUUUCAAAACAGAAUCGCUAGAUCCAAAGUUUAGCAGCAAGUUUCAUGCUUGUAUUACCAGCUACCAGAUUGCUGUGUUGCCUCUGUUUUAUGUAAGCAGUAGUUUUUCUGAUAACACUUGUGUUAAUUAUUUAUAACAUUAUAAGUAAUUAAUCAAAUCAAGGAGUGUUUUCUCUUCCUUUUUUUCUGGGUGUCAAUAUUCUUUCUAUCCCAAACUCUAGUUGUUUCCCUAAAGCCAUCAAAUAAGAGGUUUGUCCUCUGAGUUUAACCAGAGAAAAAGAAAUGGGCUGUUCCUGCUCUCCACCCUUUGCAAUUUCUGUGAUGAUGAUGAUGAUGAUGAUGAUGAUGGUGAUGAUGAUGAUGAAGGUAACUAUAACAACCCUGUGAGAAUAUUAAUAACCCCAUUGACAGAUGAGGAAACUAAGGCCCAGAGAGAUGAAGUGAUUUGCCCUCAGUCACACAGCUAGAUAUUAGCAAAGACAGGAUUUAUAUCUGGUUCCAUGAGACUCAGAACCUGGCCUCUUUCCACUAAACUACACUACAUCACUCCCCACGUGGAAGUUCAGGGUCAGGAGCCUGGGGAGCAGCAGGUCUGUCAAGUUCUGCAGGGCUGAGCUGUUUAUCAUUGUGGAGGACACUCAUCACUGUGCUAAUUACAUUAAUUGCUGCCCACUCUGUGGCUAGGUGGGUGGCUUAACAACACCUAGCAACGUGGUAACGAUGCCUGGGCCUGUCUUUAUGCAUGAAAACAUCUGCCUUUUUUUUUAAACUCCUUCCUGUGGUGUCCAAGGAUAGUAAUUACAGGUUCUAUUGGUUGGGAGUUAGUGAUUCUCUACCCUGUAGGGAAAAGGUCAAGACUAUGAACUUUGCCCUCUAACAGCCUUUUUACUGGAAUCGGGAGGGAAACCGAAGAUUUAUUAAAUAUCAACCCUGUGCUUGACAUUUUAUUUAAGGGAUCUUUUAUAAUCCUCAUGAUUCCUCAAGAAAUAGGAAUUAUAUUAUUCUUACUUUGUUUAUGAGAGUACACAGUCACCAUGUUGGGGUCACAUAGCAAGCUAGGAGCAGGUGGGAACAGGCUUAGAACUCAGGACUAUCAGUGGACACAUUUAGUCUUCACAAAUUUAUCUACACGACAGCAUCUCGUAACAGAAGACAGUGUCUUUCUAAUGUUUAGAACUGAAUUAUAGUGAGGCCGAGUCUGUAUUUCCAGAGAACAAGCAAGGCAUUAGGAGCUGGUGUUUUGUGGAGUUCUCUAUUGGUAAAGGAUGAAUAUUUGAGAUGUCAGCCUUCCGACCUCCACUCCUUCCCUUAGUUUCUGAAAGAAAUUAACAGAGUUUUCCAGUUGAUUUUUAAAUAAGUAAUUUCAAGACCACCUCUGUCUACUUGUUGGGAAUGGACAAGGUGGCUUUGGCAAUUCAUCAUAAUUGGGUAAAUGACUUAAUUUUCAGAGGCUCAGAUAACAGACGAUAAUUUAGGAAGUAAUUGACUUUGGAAUGUUGUGUAUUCAUGUACUUUAAGGGUGUGCCCAUAUCUAUAUGUGUAGGUAUAUAUGUCAAUAAAUGUGUGGUGCGUGUGUGUGUGUGUGUGUGUAUUCUUCAGGAAGACUUAGAGUAGUAGUGGACUUAGAUGAUUUGGUUCCUUUUAUACCUGCCAUUUGUCUAUAAAUAAAGUUUAAAUAAAGUUUAGCUUGUAUACUAAAGCUCAGAACAACUACAUCAUAUGAUGAUACAGGGUAGUAGUUAAGAUAUAUGAAGCUAGGCCAGGGUUUGAAUCUUUUUUUUUUGUUUGUUUGAAUCUUGGCUCGGUCACUUACCAGCUGCUAUGACUUGGGCAGGUCACUUAACCUCUCUGGCAUCAGUUUUUUCAUUUCUAGAAAUAGGGAUGAUAACAAUUCUCAUCUCAUGAGGUUCUUCUAUGCCACGGAGGCUUUUGAGACAGGAACUAUGUCUAUACACUUUUCUGCACUCAGCCAGAAUGAGGUUUGGAAGGAGCAGGCUUUGGACUUAGAUACUCGAUUCUGAUUCCAGCACUCCCAUAUUGGCUGUCUGACCUUACAGAAACUAUAUACCUUUUCUGGACCUCAGAUUCCUCAUUUACACAAUCAAGGCUCCUGAUUUCUACCUAAAAUGAUUGCGAUACCACAAGGUGGGACCCAUGAGACCUGGUGCAGCAGUAACACACAGGAGGGAUCCAGCGAAGGUUGGUUCUUUUUCCCCUUAUUCCCAUCCUAGGGUCUUACAUUUAAUAAUUGGUGACUCAGUUCUUGUUUGAUAUGUAAAAUACAUUCUUUUGUCUCAUACUCCAUUUUUCCCUCUUUCCACUAUUUUCCUUCUCCCUUUUCAUAACACUUUCCUUUCUUUUACCUUUUUGGUCAGCUUCUAUCUACUGUGAUUGAAGCCCUCUGUCCAGGUCACCAGCCAUUGUCUCCUGGAUUGUGGCAGCAGCUUUCUAACUUGUCUCCUUGCCUCUAUCUGUCCCUGUUGUUUCAUUCUCCAUGCAGGGCAGUCCUUCUGUAACCUGAACCAGACCUUGCUGCUCCUCUGUGCCACUCCCUCCGGUGGCUUCUCAUCACCAUGGCCUGCAAGGCUCUGUGUGACCUGUCUUCUGGCACUCCCUGACCUCCCUCUUAGCUCAGUCUGCUCCAGCCUCAAAGGCCUUCUGGCUGUUACUGGAACAUUCAAGCACAUUCUUGCUUUGGGUCUUUUAUAAAUAUAUACAUCUGUCUGUGUGUAUAUAUAUAUAUACACACACACACACACACACACAAAAACACACACAUACACACACAUAUAUACACACACACAUACACACACACACAUAUAUAGUUCUCUCUUCCUCCAGAUAUCUGUAGGCUUCAUCCUCUCACUUCCUUAGGCCUCUGCCCACAUGGCACCAUAUCAGAAAGGCCUUCCCUGAUGACUUAAUAUUAAAAAAAAAAACCCAAGCACUCCCAGUCCUCCGUUUUAGUUUUCCUCUUUUCUCUUAUCAGUGGCAUAUUAGACACUUAUUCAUUUACUUAUUUAUUUUCUCUCUCCCCUGAGCAGCACGUGACCUCUAUAAGAGCAGACUUGGUUUUGUUUUCUGCUGUGUCCCCAGAACCUGGAGCACAGUAAGUGCUCAAUAAAUAUUUGCUGGAUUUUGUGAAUGUGUGUGUCCCCUUUAUGAAAUGGCACGGAAGAGCCUGCACUGACGCUCCAGGUGAUUUGGGGCCUGAAUGGGUCACUGAUCAACUUUUAUCUUAACCAGACCAGGGUGAUGAGGAGAAUUAGGUGGCUGCUCAGGGGCCCUUCACACACAUACCUUUGGGACCAACGCUGUUUCGUCUGCAGCAAUGGCGUGCCUGGCUUUCAUGCUUGUGGUUUGUACCAUAGUUGUGAUGUUGUCUAGAAUUCCCAUGGCAGCUUUACAAUAUGAUUAAUUUUGCUCAUAUAGAUACAUAUCGAUUACGGAUAAAGAUGACUCAAGGUUUAAAUUUAGCCCCACCACAACAAAUUGAAAGUCACAGGUGUGCUACCUAAUUGCUCCCAGACUAUGAAAACAAAAGCACAAUGUCUGCCAGCACUGAAUCACUCUUCUCCACCCUUUUUCUCCCUUCCCUUCAUGUUCUCUGUCUUAAUUCUGUUCAUGUCGUAAACCGUGGUAGCUUAGAAAAGUGAAAAAUAACAUCCGGAGUCCAAAGUUCCAGUCCUGACACCACCACUUGUUUACUGUGAGAUCUCAAGCAUGUUACCCCACCUCCCUGAGCUUCAGUUUCCUCUUUUGUAGAAUAGACCUACUUGAAAACAGGUGCUCAAUAACGUGUUGAAUGAAAGAUGCCUAAGUGAGACAGCAUGGGUAGAAUGUCUAGCCCAGGGUGAGCACUCAAUAGAUGCUAGUCACCGGCCAUGCUAACUGAUGCACCUGACUGUGCUGUCUUCAUGAACUUUCUUUGGCUUUGGUUAACCAUUAGGAUAGGCAACCCAGCUGAAAACAGAGGAUGGCUCAUGACAAGGCCUUUCCUAAUCAGUCUCUCACAAGGGCUUUUAUGGAGGCCCUACUAUGCGUACAGCAAGGUGGAAGAUUCAGGGGUGGGUGGAGCAUCAAGCCAGCGAGAGGCAUAGUUACUGCUGCUAUUGGUGCCCUGUGGCUGCUGUAACAAAUGACCACAAGCUUUGUAGCUUAAAGCCACAGAAAUGUAUUCGCUCACAGUUCUAGAGGGCAAAGCAUUUGAAAUCAAAAUGUUGGCAGGGCCACGCUCCCUCCAAGGGCCCUAAGGAAGAAUCCACUCUCUGCCUUUUGCAGCUUCUGGCGACUCCUGGUGUUGCUUGGCUUGUGGAAGCACAGCUCCGUUCCGCGCCUCUGUCUUCACAUGAUCUUCCCUACUGUGUGUCUCUGUGUCUCAAAUCUCCCUCACCUUUCUCUAAUAAGGAAACCAAUCAUUGGAUUUAGGGUCUACCCUAAAUUCAAAAUGUUUUCAUCUUGAGAUCCUUAACUUAAUUACAUCUGCAAGGACCCUAUUUCUAAAUAAGUUCACAUUCAUAAGUGUUGGGGUUUGGGGUUUAGGGUUUUGACAUCUUUUUUGGGGUCCCAAUUUAACCCAGCUACAGUGGCCUCCAGGAAUUUCAGAUUAGGGAAAGGAAGAGCACACACAGAUGAACAAAAAAAGUUUCAAGUAGAGUUUGUAAGACAAAUCUUAUUUGAAGGUGGUUAGUAGGGGGUUGAUCCAUUAAUUUUUUGAUCCAGAAAUAUUCACUGAGCCCCUGCUAUGCUGGGUGCUGGAGAUAGAAAUGAGGAAGCACAGUCUCUGCCUUCAAGGAGUUCACAGACUGCUUCAAUGAACAGAGAAAUGGACAUUUAUUGUUGAGCAUGGUAGGAGCUGUGGUAGAAGUAGACCCCUGAUGCGAUGGGCAUUAGCAGGUCUGAGUUACAACCUCGGGGCUGGUGUUCAGAGAGGGCUUUCUGCAGGAAGUAUUAUCCCUUCCAAGGCCUAAAGGUUGAGGGAGUAGGAGCUGGCCAGGCCCAAGCGGGAAUGGUUCUAGGAAGAAGGAAUGGAGGAAAGACAGGCUGGCCUGUAUAGGUUCUGCACUAUGUAGGGGGCUGGAGAGGUGCACAAGGGAUCAGAUUGAAUGGGAUGCUGAAAACCACAGAAAGCUAUGGAGAGCCAUAGAAAGACUGUAGGGAGGGGAGUGACAUGACUAGAUCUGUAUGUUAAAAAUAAAAAUUGGAGAAGGUCUUUUGAGAAAAGUGAUUUUCUAAUAGAAUUUUAUUUGAUCCUUUUUUUAAAAAAAGAAGCAUAACAUAUAUACAGAAAUGCAUACAAGUCAUAAGAGGUGCAUUUUGAUGAAUGAUUACAAAGUGAAUAGCCCUGUGUAUAUACUGCUUAGGUUUUCCAGAUGUAUAGGUUGUCAGAGUACAGGCAGAAUAGAGGAGAGAUGGCCUAAUCAUUUGGAAUUUCUCUUCUUUGUCCUGUGGAGAAAUGGCUUUCAUAACAGAAAGAAUAUGGGAUCUAGGGUAGAAAGGCUCAGUUUUGAGCUCUAUAUCUGGUAUUUCCUUUUUGUAUGAUCUCAGGCAAAUGGCUACACUUUCCUUAUCCUCAGUUUCACUACUGAGAGUGGACUAGCUAUGUCUUCUUCACUAAGAUGGUGUGCAGGUAAAAUAGGACAAAGCUGGUAAAAAGCUCUCUGCAUUAUGCAAAAUAGUUGCCCAUAUAAUUCUAAAAUUCCAAUCUGUCUCAGAUAUAGACUGCUUCACUUUAUCUUCUUCCUUCUUUAUAUGACAUUUUGACAGAUGAAUGAGGAGGGAAGGAGGGGAGGGAGUUUCUCUUUUUGUAAUGCUUUUUUUUUUUUGGUUUUGUUUUCCAUUUCAAAAUGCCAGCCACAUCUGGAGUGGCUCUCCUAUACCCUUCUCUGUCCCUACUCUUCCUGCUCAUUGCUGGCCAUCUUACCCAACCAGGCCCAAAGAGGCAGGGGAAGGAGGGCGGGAAUGAGGGCAUGAAAAGAGCUUCGAGGUGAAAAGAAGUCCCUUCGUCUUCCUUGAGGGUCCCUGCUGUCCCCAGCUGUGCACUAGGCAUUUGGGAUGGAGGUGGGGGGAUGUAGAUGGGAAACAUGCCCUUCACUUUCAGUGUGAUGUCAAGUCUGUUGAGGCAAAAUGAAAACAGCCUAGGCCGAGCGCGGUGGCUCACGCCUGUAAUCCCAGCACUUUGAGAGGCCGAGGCGGGCGGAUCACGAGGUCAGGAGAUCAAGACCAUCCUGGCUAACACGGUGAAACCCCCUCUCUACUAAAAAUACAAAAAAAAGUUAGCCAGGCAUGGUGGCAGGCACCUGUAGUCCCAGCUACUCGGGAGGCUGAGGCAGGAGAAUUGCGUGAACCUGGGAGGCAGAGCUUGCAGUGAGCCGAGAUCUGGCCACUGCACUCCAGCCUGGGCAAGAGAGUGAGACUACGUCUCAAAAAAAAAAAAAAAACAAAAAACAAAAAACAGCCUAAUAGCAGAGCAAGACCAGCUAAGGUCAAAGUCUUAGUGUCAGAGGCAAAUAGCCCCAAAGGAGGCUGGAAACAGAAGAGACCACUUCACUGGGUAAAACACCUACAGAAGGUGAGCUCAGUGCUAGGCUCUCCCUUCUCUCCUCUCAUUUCAAAUUCUUGGCAUUUUAUGCAAUAAAUAUAUUUAAGCACCUAUAGCAUAUCAGACCAUUAUUUUAUACACAUUGUUUUAUUUGAUCCUCAGAACAACACUAAAAGCUAAGUAUUAUAAUUACCAUCUUUUGGAGGAAGGGGACCAAGAUUUACAGAUUUGCUCAAGAUCACACCACUGUUAAAAGAAGGAAAUAGCUUUGAACCCACACCCAUCCAGUCCCACAAAUCCUGCUCUUUCCACUCUGCUAUACCGUUCGUUGAACGUAUGUGGAAGGGAGCCACGCGCUUUAUCGGGCUGCAUCACAUUGCAUGCAUUUUUAGUAUAUGUGUGCACAUGCCAACAGGCAUGUGGGAAUCCUGCUGGGUGAGUUGUAAUGAGGGCGUUUUGAGUGGCUAGAUGCAUUUUUGCUGGUGAGGCCUGGCUCAAGGAGAACAGGAAAGGAAGCAUACAAACCCAGUGUGUGGGAGGCUAGUCACACGGUGUGAGGGCUUGUCCUUGAACAAACUAUUGGGAAAUGGGUCUGUUAAGCCCUGGUGAAACUUUACUUUACUGGGGGGCCCCUAGGUUUUUCCAUGACUAUUUGAUUUCCAAAGCAUAAUUCAUUCCCAAUUCUUGAAAAAAAAGAAAAAGCAAUAUUUGUUUAGCACCUCCUGUGUGCCAGGCAUGGUGCUUGGUGCUUUACAUAUGUGACAUCAUUUAAUUCUCACAAACCCUUGCCCAUUAGUGCCACUGUUCAGCCCAGGAGACAGAUUCAGGAAGUUCAGGCGAUUUGUUCAAGAUUCUUCAGCUGGUGUGGAGCAGCACUGGGGUUCCUGCCCUGUGCUGUUCAACAGCAAGUCACACUGGCAUUUUAAAGUUAUUGGUGGGACAUUCUGUCUUUUAAUAUAGUUGUAAAUUAUCUCUAAUCAUGAAAUAGGAUGACAGCAUACUGAUCCUUCCUCUCCUCUUUUAGAAAAAGAAAGGCAUUAUCUUUUCAUUCCUGAGUAACUAAGAUUCUUUGCCCCAGAGGUAAAAAUCUCCACUCCAGGUUACUCAUGUGUCAUUGUCCGGAGGGUACAAUUGCUACUCUUGCUUUCGUUUGGCCCUUUUUCUUCUUCUUUUCCUAAGGUACCUGGCCUCUUUCAAGAUAUCUCUCACUCCCCCAUACCCAUCACUAUAGUAUAAGGCUGCUGAGGUGGCACCAGCCAUGAUAAGGAAGGCAGGGACCUGUGGCCUGGAUGAGCCUGUAGUCAGAGAGACCUGGUGUGUAUGGAGUCUAGAGGGCCCUCUGAGGUUUGAGAUAGGCCUAAUAGUCUCCCAAAGACCCCUGGUCCCUGCUCACCUAGUGCCAUCAUAGAAGGGAAAAGAUGUUCUUGGUGUCACUGGAGAACAUUUGGCUUUGGAGAUAAGUGUUUGGGCCACCAGCCCCCUUCAAGAAUAUAUAGCAAUUAUGAGUGUCUGGAUGGACCUCAUUUUUUGCACUGGGCGGAUAGAUUAACCAAACCUCCCAGAAGUGGAAUGAAUAACAAAGAGAAAGGUCUUUGCAAUUCUAGGGCUUGUCCUUUCACAUCUCUUUUAAGGCUUGUGAAAGCAGCGAGCAGUGGGGAGGGAGAUGGGUGGAAUGGGCAUUUGUUAACGAGGAGAAAUCCUGAGAUGCUUGGUUGUGUGACCUGGGGUUGGGAAGCCACUCCACUUCACAUCUCUGAGUCUCAAUUUUCCCUUCUGCCAUUUGGCAAAGGGAAUGCUUCCCUUCCUCUUCCCCUGCCCCAGACGGCUGCUGUGAGAAUGAGAUGAGAAUAUGUUUAGGGUUUUGGAGUGAUGUCCGAACUCAGAGAAGGUGCUUAGGCCAAAGUCAAGAGGCCUGAGGUGUACUCCAGACUCUGCCCUGAACUCAGUAUCUCUUCUUUCCGGGGCUUCCUUUCUAUAAAAUGGGGGAAUGAGGGUAGCUUUCUUUCUUUUUUUUUUUUUUCCCUCAAUGGUCACUUUUGAUUCUAAAUGCCAUAAUGCCAUGACUGUUUUCUCAAAGUAGAGGAUUAGAUGCAACUUUUAGGAGAUAAAUGGAUCAUUUAAUAGUUACCUGUUCAGUCAUUUAACAAAUGUUUAAUGAGGACCUACCACAUGUCAGCCACAGUGCUAGGUAAUGGAUAGAAUAACAAACAAAACAGACGUAGCCCCUGCCCUCAUGGAACUUCUAGUCUAGUAUAAGACUGUUUGGAAGAACUUCCUCAUCUCAGAUAGUUGAAGAAGUUCCAGGGCUCCAAGGGGAAUGUCGUUAGUUAAAAGAACAAUGUCAGGAAUGUAAUAGGUGCUCAAAUAUUUGUUAAAUGAAUAAAUCAAUACAAGCACCUGAAGGAAGCUCUUGCAGUAACCCUAGAGUUAGGAGCAGUUCUUUGGAGUCCAGAAAGACUGUGGGAGCUCUGGCAAAGGGUGUAUGUAAUUGCUAAAUAGUUUGUUUGUUGAGACACCUGUGGAUGGGAGGAUCUGCCCCUACCUGCCUGGUUCUCAAGGUGGCCACUUACUGGGAACAACGAUGGCUUCACUUGCCAGGUCUUUUCCCCAGAGGUGGAGCCCAUGCAGAUGCUGGAACUGAAGGGGGGAAGGGAAAAGUGGCCAGGGAAAAAUGCCAGUGUUUGUAUGACAUUUGGGCUAAGCCCAGAGGACCCAUAGAGAUUGUGGGGUCUCAUCUGUAUCCUGUCAGAGGGGUAACUGAGGCCUAGAUGGGAUGUGAGGUCACAAAAGAGUUGGCUCCAAGCCAUGUCAGGAGGCUGGAUGGGGAGGUGGAAAGAACCUGGGCUUAGGAGUUGGAGAGUACUUGGGUUUGAAGGCUGUGGAUCCUUGGGUAAAUCACUUAAUCUCUCUGAAUCAGCUUUCUCAUCUGUUGAAGAGACAUCACAGUGGUGGCAUCUGAAAGAUGUCAUGAGGUAUAAUGUGUCUUGGACACCUAAAAUCAGGACCCAGGACUAACUAUAGACCUGAUAAUCAGUAUUUAUAAUUAUUACAUUAUUAGGACCCAGGUCCUAUUUCUGUGCAAUGUUGAAAGAUAGUGAUAAGAACAAUUUAGAUCAGAACUUACAAGUUUGCAUGAUCUUCAUUAUAAAUGAAAUAGUGAAACAAUGCUGAGCGGAUUUACAGAGGCGUAACUCAUUCAUUAACCAGCUUAGACAGGCAUUUUCCCCCCUCUUUGGGAUUGGUUUUCUCUUCUGUUAAAUGGGGAUAAUUUUUAUGCUCAACCUCUUCUCAUCCAUCUAUUAAACAUUUAUUGAAUGCCUAUUAGGAGUCAUAAUAUGCUUAGUGCUGAGGACACAGGAAGAGGACAUAGUUCCUGACCCUAAGGAGCUCAUUACCUAGUGGGACACUAUUAAACAGAUACAACACAGAAUAGUAUGUAUAGAGCAUGGUAUGUAGCAGGGGCCUAUUCCUGUCUGAGUGGACAAGGAGGCUUCCUAGAGGAAGCAACAUUUAAAGCUGAGGGCUGAAGGAUGAAUAGGAUUUAACCAAGUAAAAGUAAGAAAGGAAGUGGGGAGCUGGAAAGGGCAUUCCAGGAAGAAGAAACUGCAUGUGCAAAGGCCAGGAGGUCAGAGCGCACAGUGGAUAUGACGAUGUGGCUAGCUGAGCAUGUCUGUGCAGUGUCAACUUUGUUGUGAACACAGAGGGAGGCUACUGGGAAAUUUUAAGCAAGAGAGUUGGAGUAUGAUCACAUUUGCAUGUUAGAAAGAACACUCAGGGUUAUAUGCACUUGAAUGAAGUUUUAUUAUGGAGAGCAGUUGGAACAAGUCGAUUCUUUCCUCCUCCUCCAUCAUCCUCCUCUUUUCCCUGUCCACAUAACAUGGCUCACAUGAGAUAAAAUAACCCACACAAGCAUGCCUUGUGUAAUGUCUGCCACAUAGUAGGUGUCCAAUUAUCAUAUAAUUCCCCCCUUUUUAAAUGUAGUUCCUGAAAGAGAAAUCCCCUGGCAUGAAGCACAAGUUGGGGCAAAAACGGUGAGGGUGUGGCUGUUUGUAUCUUCUGGCUGGUGUUUGGGUAUAGCCGACAGGAUUUAGGUCAGAGGAAGUUCCCCAGACAGUUCAGCCUCAACCAGUCAUCUGGGGUUUCAGGGAGGGCAGGUGAAGGUCAUAAUAUCCCCCUAUUUCAGGAGGCCACCCCUCCCCAGGAUCCUGAUCUUGAAAUGUACCAGACAUGGACCAUUGCGUUAAUUUGUCUGGGUCGGCUUCCUCAUCUGUAAAAUGGGUAUAAGGUUACCUGUGCUGUCAGCCACAUGGGGUUGUUGUAAGAAACAGAAAAGUGUGAACCACCACAAAAUAAUAUAAGACUACAUUAAUUAAUGGCUACCCUGGGCUGGGCCUUGUUCUGUGAAGUAGAUAUUAUCAAUUAUCCCUAUUAUACAGAUAGCAAAACCAAGGGUCAGAGAGAUUAUGUGAAUCACCCACAGGCACAGAAUAAGUGGCUGUAGCUGGAGCGCUGGCAUUUUAACCACAACACUGUGACACCAUGACUUGUUCUCCUUUGAAAACCACCUCCUGCUCCCUGAGCUCUUAGCUUGAUGCAGUACUCCAGAAAUGAGUGUAGAAAGAUGGAAGAAGGAAGGAAAGGGGCAGUGUUUGAAGUCUGAGAGUCUUUCCAGAUGCCUCCCUACUCCUCACCCCACCAACUCAGGGUCUUCUUCCAGAUGCACUCUGGGAAAUGGCUCAUGGCAUCCUCUUAAAAUGACCUGUUACCUGACUCCUCAUUAGAUGGGGACACGUGGGGGAAGGGACUGUUUGGUUUGCGUUGGUAUCCCCAGGGUCUAGUACAAUGGCUGGCACUCAGUAAAUGUUUGUGAAUAAAUUCCUCCUGUCAUUGUCUGAAUUUUCUGCCCAUGCUGUCCUCUUGGCCAAGAGAUCUAAAAGCAAACGAGCUGGGGCUUCUGGAAAGUCUUCCAAGGUCAGUGGAUGCAUGUGUGAUGGAGGCCCAGCAAGAGGUCAGUGUGUUGCCCUGGGGCAAGCCUGCAGGAUGGACCCAGAGGGCUGGGGUGGCCGGCUUCAUCCAGCUCAUUUUUCCCAAGGGAUCUGGCGCUCACAGGCUGCACAUAGAGCCCACGUGUUGUGUUGCGUGAGGACCCCUAAGGAUUUGUUGAGUGGUCCUAGGUGCUCAAGUCACUGUACCUGCAGGGUGGCUUGAGCUGGGCCCACCUGACUGAUUGGCUGGUCAAUAGGUGGCCUGAGAACCAAAACUAGCCUCCAGCACAUUGAGCAACCGGCUUCCUUCCUGCCCCGGGUCAGGAGCUGGGCCAGGGAAAGUGAAGAAACCUGUUUGGGGCCUCGGCAGGGUGGGCGUGGGUGGGGCCCUGCCGGGAAAAGAGGCGCCUAGACCAGUUAGUUUCCUUUGCUCCAGGACCGGAUGCGGAGCCGGGACUCAGGUGGAGGCAGGAGAAAUACGCACCCUGGGUGCACCUAUUCCUAUCAGGCGAAGGCCGCCUUUCCUGGCCUCCCCCACAGGCCCGCCAGCGAUUCGUCCUUACAAGGCUAGCCUCCACGGGCUGCCCUCUGUGUAAAUAAAGCCACAGACUUCCGCCCACAGGUCGCCGCAGGUCCCGCCCGCAGCGCCGGGCCGCGGGGGAGGCGGGAACUGGUGCUACGGCCGCUACGCAGGCCUCGGGAGGCUCGGAGCCCGCCACGCCCCAGCCCUCUCGCAGGGCCGGGGAGCCACGGGGCCAAAAGGAGGAGCAGGUGGAAGAAAUCCAGGCUCAGACCGUCGGAGUCCCCACCCAUGAGCACCCUUCUCCACUGAUCACUCAGAACAUGGUAGGCCCUAGAGAGACAGCAGCCCGAAUCUUCCCAGAAACCCUGCAGGAGAUUCCUUCUUCCCAUUUUAUAGAAGGGAGGCUGAGGCUCGGCACGUUGAAAUGGCUUGACCAAGGUCCCACAGGCAAAAAAAUGGUACAGCAAGAUAUUGUAACCCAAUAUCUGGCUGCAAAACCCAGUCUCUCCCCAACCCACCUAUCGUCACCGAGAUUGUAAAACUUCUAACCGGGAAGAAUCAAAUACAUGCACAACGGGUUACAGGUUAACAGACAGAUGGGAGCGGAAAGGGACAUUCCAGCGCUUCCCUGGGCGUGUCGCACAGGGCAACUCCAACCACAGGCGAAUUUUCCUGGGUGACAGUUAAACUCCUUUUUGCAUGAAAAAAUACAGAUUCUUAUUAAAACAAUAAUCGAUUAGACUAUAAAA